UCUGUGUUUGGAACUGUGGUUAGUCCGCUCAGCCUGCGGAGCUGUAGGUUGCUGGUUCGAUUCCCCCCACCAGAU